AUGGACCAAUCCAUCCAUUUUUCUCGUGCAUAUGCAUCGGACUCCGAUGAUGAUGGUCCCAAUGAAGAAGUUGAUGAGGAGGGGUUCACGCCCAAGGAGGCCCAAGCAUUUAAGAAGGUAUUCGGGCGGGAUCACAAGACACCAUUGUUCAAGGAUCUUAGUCUUGCGGAUGAAGCCGUUUGUAGAUGGUGGCAAAUGUAUAUCUCUUGGAGCUAG
rnacentral:rRNA from 1 species